rnacentral:tRNA from 3 species
GCCGGUGUGGUGGAAUUAGGCAGACACGCUAGUCUUAGGAACUAGUUCUUCGGAGUGCAGGUUCGAGUCCUGUCACCGGUAC